UACGGAGGGAGCGAGCGUUGUUCGGAAUUACUGGGCGUAAAGGGUGCGCAGGCGGCCUUGCAAGUCAGAAGUGAAAGCCCUGGGCUCAACCCAGGAAUUGCUUUUGAAACUGCGAGGCUAGAGUAUCGGAGAGGUUAGCGGAAUUUCCAGUGUAGAGGUGAAAUUCGUAGAUAUUGGAAGGAACACCAGUGGCGUAAGCGGCUAACUAGACGAAUACUGACGCUCAGGCACGAAAGCGUGGGGAUCAAACAGG
rnacentral:rRNA from 1 species